UUGCUUCCACAACACAUACGCUAAAAUUAGAACAAUACAGAGAUCGGCAUGGCCCCUGUGCAGGGAUGAUCCACAAAAUCAGGAAGCAUGCCAUAUUUUU
rnacentral:snRNA from 1 species